GAUGAACGCUGGCGGCGUGCCUAAUACAUGCAAGUCGAGCGAACGGACGAGGAGCUUGCUCCUUUGACGUUAGCGGCGGACGGGUGAGUAACACGUGGGUAACCUACCUAUAAGACUGGGAUAACUUCGGGAAGCCGUAGCUAAUACCGGAUAAUAUUUUGAACCGCAUGGUUCAAAAGUGAAAGACGGCUUUGCUAUCACUUAUAGAUGGACCUGCGCCGCAUUAGCUAGUUGGUAAGGUAACGGCUUACCAAGGCAACGAUACGUAGCCGACCUGAGAGGGUGAUCGGCCACACUGGAACUGAGACACGGUCCAGACUCCUACGGGAGGCAGCAGUAGGGAAUCUUCCGCAAUGGGCGAAAGCCUGACGGAGCAACGCCGCGUGAGUGAUGAAGGUCUUCGGAUCGUAAAACUCUGUUAUUAGGGAAGAACAAACGUGUAAGUAACUGUGCACGUCUUGACGGUACCUAAUCAGAAAGCCACGGCUAACUACGUG
rnacentral:rRNA from 1 species